AUUCCCCCCUCUCUCUCUCUGGAUUUCGGCUCCCAAUUUCACACUCAGGUACAGAUCGUUUGCGAGACACCCCACCCUACCCCACCCAACCAACCCCCAAUCAUCGCCCAGACCCGCCGCACCAAAUCCAUCGCCAACUCACGUUCCUCUUACUCCCCAAUUUCUCCUCCAUAGAUUUAUGGGUUCUUAUAAUAAUGAUAAUCCAUUUCGCAUCUAUGCAUAAUCACGUGUUCACAUAUUGUUAGAUGUGCUUGUAGUCAGCUUUUGUUAUAACAAUUUUGGGUUUUGGCUUAUGGGUUUAGUGCAGAAAGUGAGAAUGGACGUAAAUUCCAUGUUUCAUGCGGUGGCGAUAGCAUGCACGGCGUGAAUACGUGGUGGACCUGGUGGUGGAGUUGAGUUCCUUAGGUGUAGCUGCUGCCGUUGAUUUAGGAGGUUGCUAAGAUCUAGAGUUCAGAUGUCGAAUCAGACUGUUAAGGUGAAUAGGGACACAAUUGCGGCAUGCAUGACAUGCCCUCUUUGCGAUAAGCUCUUCCGCGAUGCCACCACUAUUAUCGAAUGCCUACAUACGUGUGAGUUGCCUCUAUUGUGCUGUAAUUGCUUGCAAUUCUAUUAUUUGUUUAACUACCUUGGUCCCUAUAUAUAGUGUCAUUUAGACGAAUUUUGUUUUUUGUUUUUCUCAGUUUCUUUAUUUGAGUUUGCUUUAUUUUGCGUUAUGGAAUCU
rnacentral:lncRNA from 1 species